rnacentral:rRNA from 1 species
GACGAACGCUGGCGGCGUGCUUAACACAUGCAAGUCGAGCGGAAAGGCCCUUCGGGGUACUCGAGCGGCGAACGGGUGAGUAACACGUGAGUAACCUGCCCCAGACUUUGGGAUAACCCUCGGAAACGGGGGCUAAUACCGGAUACGACACAGCUUCGCAUGGGGUCUGUGUGGAAAGUUUUUCGGUUUGGGAUGGGCUCGCGGCCUAUCAGCUUGUUGGUGGGGUGAUGGCCUACCAAGGCGACGACGGGUAGCCGGCCUGAGAGGGCGACCGGCCACACUGGGACUGAGACACGGCCCAGACUCCUACGGGAGGCAGCAGUGGGGAAUAUUGCUCAAUGGGCGGAAGCCUGAUGCAGCGACGCCGCGUGAGGGAUGACGGCCUUCGGGUUGUAAACCUCUUUCAGCAGGGACGAAGCGUAAGUGACGGUACCUGCAGAAGAAGCGCCGGCCAACUACGUG